rnacentral:lncRNA from 1 species
UUGGCGACAGUUGAUCCAUUGUAGGAGUAGGAUACGUUUCUAGAAAGAAUCUAUCAAUCUUGAUAGAAAGGAGUAGUCCUAUGGGAUUAGAGAGGCUAAAUUCAUAAGCUUGUGGCCAUAGCAGUAUGAUUGAUGGAAAAGAGUUUUCAUGAGAAUCAUGAUUUAUUUAUGACCUAUCAUCAAGUCGGAACUCACGAUAGAGGGACUGAA